UAAUGUCUACUGUGAACACCCCAGCCGAUUCCACACAGCUGCUAUGGUCCAAACAGAGCCCAGAGUAACUUUCUCCCGACGGCCUGUGACUGAUAGCGAUGUUUGGAGGAAAUCCAGUU